AUGUAUCAGUUAUCUCUGCUCGCUGCUGUGGUGUCCUGUGUUUACUGCAGUGUUUACCACGAUCAGCCCAGCUCACUGACGGUGAGGCCUGGAGAGGCUUUAACAGUCUCCUGUAAGAUUUCAGGAUAUUCUCUCAGUGAUGGCACUAAGGCUCCUUCAUGGAUUCGACACGCUGAAGGAAAAGCUCUGGAGUUCAUUGGAAUGAUCCAUGCGAGUGGAAGCACAAACUACAAGGAAUCAUUAAAGAACAAGUUCAGCAUCUCCAGAGACACGUCCAGCAGCACAGUGUUUCUAAAAGGACAGAAUCUGCAGCCUGAAGACACAGCUGUGUAUUACUGUGUACGCUAUACUGGCACACGGUGA